CCUACGGGGGGCUGCAGUGGGGAAUAUUGGACAAUGGGGGCAACCCUGAUCCAGCCAUGCCGCGUGUGUGAAGAUGGCCCUCGGGUUGUAAAGCACUUUCAGUGAGGAAGAACGCCUGGUGGUUAAUACCCAUCAGGAAAGACAUCACUCACAGAAGAAGCACCGGCUAACUCCGUGCCAGCAGCCGCGGUAAUACGGAGGGUGCGAGCGUUAAUCGGAAUUACUGGGCGUAAAGCGCGCGUAGGUGGCUUGAUAAGCCGGUUGUGAAAGCCCCGGGCUCAACCUGGGAACGGCAUCCGGAACUGUCAAGCUAGAGUGCAGGAGAGGAAGGUAGAAUUCCCGGUGUAGCGGUGAAAUGCGUAGAGAUCGGGAGGAAUACCAGUGGCGAAGGCGGCCUUCUGGACUGACACUGACACUGAGGUGCGAAAGCGUGGGUAGCAAACAGGAUUAGAUACCCCAGUAGUC
rnacentral:rRNA from 1 species